GUGGGGAAUCUUAGACAAUGGGGGCAACCCUGAUCUAGCCAUGCCGCGUGAGUGAUGAAGGCCUUAGGGUUGUAAAGCUCUUUCAGCUGGGAAGAUAAUGACGGUACCAGCAGAAGAAGCCCCGGCUAACUCCGUGCCAGCAGCCGCGGUAAUACGGAGGGGGCUAGCGUUGUUCGGAAUUACUGGGCGUAAAGCGCACGUAGGCGGACUGGAAAGUUGGGGGUGAAAUCCCGGGGCUCAACCUCGGAACUGCCUUCAAAACUAUCGGUCUGGAGUUCGAGAGAGGUGAGUGGAAUUCCGAGUGUAGAGGUGAAAUUCGUAGAUAUUCGGAGGAACACCAGUGGCGAAGGCGGCUCACUGGCUCGAUACUGACGCUGAGGUGCGAAAGCGUGGGGAGCAAACAGGA
rnacentral:rRNA from 1 species